AUCAUUAGUGGAAAUUCAUAGAAACAAAUAGCUAUAAUCGAAUGGAAUAUCUAAUGUUUUUAGUGUCCUCUAGGGGCUACUAGGAAUAUGGCAACCUACUGAAAUACUGAGAUACUUACACAUGUGCAGAUCAGGGAAGGAAACAGUACAAGAAUACUACUAUAUAGUGAACAUAAAUAUUACACAAGGAAUCAUAUCAUCACCUUUUGGGUGCAUUUUAACCCAUUCAAUAGAUAUGUCCUUGUAUGUUUAAGAGCAGCGCUACUAUCAAGAUAUUUAAAUAUAUCAUUUAGCCUGAAAAUAUAAUGAAUAAAUUAACAAUUCCAAAACUAUUCUCUACCCAGGAUCAAAAUAGCAUUAAGAAAAACUAGUCCCAAAGUUAAAAUAUCAUUACCUUUGAAUCCAGAGAUUCUAAUGUUACUUGAUUGACCCCAAAGAAGGUCAUUAAUGGAAAGAAAGGCACCUAAUAUAUCAAAAUACUGGAAAAUAUUUGCUGGGGAUGGGGAAAUAGACGCCCAUCAUUUGGGGAAUGCAUAAACUAAUUGUGGUACAGGAAUGUCAUGGUAGGGGUGGUUUUAGUUUUAUGUGGGCUACUAAUGAGUGCCUGCAGAUUGUCAAACCUCUCUCCUAUCAAUUAUUAUGCCUAUGCAUUGCUGGGGUAAAAGUCCUGUUUUGCUUCUCUAUGAGUAUGGGCAGGAUCCUCUUUGUCCAUUUCUUCUUUUUGCCAUUGCCCACUCAUUCUUCCUCUCUUUCUGUGGAUAUUCCUAUCCAGCAUCCAAUAUACUGACUGGUUCCAAGGGCAGAUGAACUAGGUAUGUCUUCCAAGGGGGUAUAAUCAUUUAUCUUUUCACAAAAUUUAGAUAACCCAACCUGGAAUGAUCAGGAGAGAGAGAGAAAAGUUAUUCAAUCACAGGUCAUUCUUGAGGUCCAAUUCUACAGAAAGCCUUCCAGAAUUCCUGGCCUAGUGACUGUGGCAGAGCUAUGGAGAUAGAAGAUGAGAAACUUCGACUACUGCCAGGAGAUUGGAGCUACAAGGGCUGGCCAUCCUACUCUUUUUAAGAAUUCCAAAUCAUUUCCCCACCCAGAGAAAGCAAGAGAAGGUAAGAAAAAGAGAAGUCGUUAGUAAUAUGUAUCGUCAUACCAAAUGAAUUUCCACAUUAACCAUGUUUCCCUCUACCCCAUUUCCAAAAAAAAAAAAAAAAGACAGAAAAAGAGAAGAAAUAAAAUAACAUAUGUUUUAUUCAAUACCUUGAGUCCAUCAGUUCUCUAUCUGGAGGGGAAUAGCAUGUUUCCUCUUACGUCCUUUGGAAUUGUGGUGAGUCAUUAUGUUGCUCAAAGUUACUAAGUUUUCACAGUUGACUAUGCAAUAUUGUCCCAUUACUGUACAAAUUAUAUAACUGGUAUUAUUCACUUUGUUUUGAAUAACUUCAUAUAAAUCUUCCCAGAUUUUUCUGACACCAUUCCCUUUAUAAUAUCUUAGAACACAAAAACAUGCCAUCACAUUCACA